rnacentral:rRNA from 1 species
UACGAAGGGAGCUAGCGUUGUUCGGAAUCACUGGGCGUAAAGCGCACGUAGGCGGACGUGUCAGUCAGGGGUGAAAUCCCGGAGCUCAACUUCGGAACUGCCUUUGAUACAGCACGUCUUGAGUCCGGAAGAGGUGGGUGGAAUUCCUAGUGUAGAGGUGAAAUUCGUAGAUAUUAGGAAGAACACCGGUGGCGAAGGCGGCUCACUGGCCCGGUUCUGACGCUGAGGUGCGAAAGCGUGGGGAGCAAACAGG